GAGUUUGAUCCUGGCUCAGAACGAACGCUGGCGGCGUGCCUAAGACAUGCAAGUCGUGCGGAAAGGCUCCUUCGGGAGUACUCGAGCGGCGCACGGGUGAGUAACACGUGGGUAAUCUACCUGAGGGUCUGGGACAACCCCGGGAAACUGGGGCUAAUACCGGAUGAGACCACGGCGUCCUCGGACGCAGCGGUCAAAGAUGGCCUCUCCUCGGAAGCUAUCGCCCGCARAUGAGCCCGCGUCCCAUUAGCUAGUUGGCGGGGUAACGGCCCACCAAGGCGACGAUGGGUAGCUGGUCUGAGAGGAUGAUCAGCCACACUGGAACUGAGACACGGUCCAGACUCCUACGGGAGGCAGCAGUCGGGAAUUUUGGGCAAUGGGCGAAAGCCUGACCCAGCAACGCCGCGUGAGGGAUGAAGGCCUUCGGGUCGUAAACCUCUGUCGGGAGGGACGAAAGGCACGCGGGUGAACAAUCCGCGUACUUGACGGUACCUCCAAAGGAAGCGCCGGCUAACUCCGUGCCAGCAGCCGCGGUAAUAC
rnacentral:rRNA from 1 species